CCUACGGGAGGCAGCAGUGAGGAAUAUUGGUCAAUGGACGCAAGUCUGAACCAGCCAUGCCGCGUGCAGGAAGACGGCUCUAUGAGUUGUAAACUGCUUUUGUACGAGGGUAAACGCAGAUACGCGUAUCUGUCUGAAAGUAUCGGACGAAUACGGAUCUGCUAACUCCGUGCCAGCAGCAGAGGUAAUACGGAGGAUUCAAGCGUUAUCCGGAUUGAUUGGGUUGAAAGGGUGCGUAGGCGGUCGGAUAAGUUAGAGGUUAAAUCCCGAGGCUCAACUUCGGAAUUGCCUUUGAUACUGUUCGGCUAGAGAGUAGUUGCGGUAUGCGGAAUGUAUGGUGUAGCGGUGAAAUGCUUAGAGAUCAUACAGAACACCGAUUGCGAAGGCAGCUUACCAAGCUACUUCUGACGUUGAGGCACGAAAGCGUGGGGAGCAAACAGGAUUAGAUACCCUGGUAGUC
rnacentral:rRNA from 1 species